rnacentral:lncRNA from 1 species
AAAUUUGGAGAGUAAAAUUGAUGUAAUGUAAAGAGUUGCAAUCAGAUAUUCAACUCAAAAAUUUGAUCAUGUCUCUUCACCGGACUUCUGACUGCCUACUCUACACCAGACUAAGUCCUGUCUUACUUAAGAAUAAUGUUUCUUCACAAUCAUGUUCACAUCAUCAGUUUUUGAUAGUAUUUGCAUUUGUGAGCAAGUAUUUUCAAGGAUGAAGUACAGGAAGAGUAAAAUUUCACCAGAAAUCUCUGAUGAACACCUAGAGAGCUUGCUAUGAAUGUUAACCACAGCCAUCAAACCAGGCUGAUGCAUUAGAGUCACAAAAACAAUGUCAAAUAUCUCACUAGUUUUGUGGUUUCAUUGCUCUCUUUUUUUUUUUUUUUUUCAUGUUCUAAUAAAAAUAUUAACAGUUAAAAUAAGUUACUUACAUACUUCUGUUACUUAUGUACAUUAAUUAUAUGACAUAUUUUACGAGAACUGCUCUGAAAGUAAUCCCUCCUAUUUUAUUAUGUUGAUCCACAAUGUCAGAGGCAGAUGUUGAUGGUAUGGCAGUAGAGGUUGAACUAUCCCACCAAUAUCCUGCUAUUGAUGUUGUUGCAACAGUUGGCAGCAGAGGGGCAGUCUGACAAAAUGUCGUCUGACAUGGAAGUGCAUAUGAAACAAAGAUGUGUAAUUGAAUUCUGUCAUGCAGAAAAAGUUGCACCAAUUGACACUAGUUUAUGAACAUUUGUGGAGACCAAACAGAGGAUGCAAGCACAGUGAGUGGUAAGUGGUGUGCUUCAGCAGUGGCAACAGGAACCGUGGGUCAUGUCCACAGGUGUAGGUUUUGAUAAGCACAGCAUGCAGGCUUUUGCUCAUUACUGGUGAAAAUGCAUAGCUAAUGGUGGUUACUAAGCUGAAAAACACUGUUUUUUAGCUUAGAAUUUGCUCUAUCAAAUGUUACUGUUUUCCUUGUAUAUAUUGUAGUUUCCAUGAAACUAAAACAGUGGAGUGGCCCACAUAUAUUGCCCAAGACAAUUCCUCUUCACUGCGUAUGGCUCAGGCAAACCAAAAGAUUGGACACUCCUGCUCUAGGCAAUUCCUUCCAUCUUGGAGUACUAGAUGCUACUGACAGUUUCGGACACAGAAGUAGGAAAUGAAUCAGAUGACUAGCAAAUUCCAACACUGACAGUUCAAAAAGCUUCCCCAUCCACCAUUACAUGUCAACAGAGUAUUCUACAAACACUUCUUAACCACACAUGUGGGCGCUUAUCCAAUCAGAGCCGUGAGCCAUUCCUUCUUCUAGAGGUGUCCUUGGUUCUCAUGCUGUUUAUCUGGCUCCACAGCUGCUACUCUGAACAGUUUUUUCUUGUAUUCCCACAAUGGUGUUCUUGCAGCUGGAUUUUAAGCACAAAUAAAAGAUACAAGGUGGUUAUCA